GACGAACGCUGGCGGCGUGCUUAACACAUGCAAGUCGAGCGGUAAGGCCCUUUCGGGGGUACGACGAGCGGCGAACGGGUGAGUAACACGUGGGUGACCUGCCCUUAGCUCUGGGAUAAGCCUGGGAAACUGGGUCUAAUACCGGAUAUGACUCCAUGACGCAUGUUGUGGGGUGGAAAGCCUUGUGCGGCUAGGGAUGGGCCCGCGGCCUAUCAGCUUGUUGGUGGGGUGAUGGCCUACCAAGGCGACGACGGGUAGCCGGCCUGAGAGGGCGACCGGCCACACUGGGACUGAGACACGGCCCAGACUCCUACGGGAGGCAGCAGUGGGGAAUCUUGCGCAAUGGGCGAAAGCCUGACGCAGCGACGCCGCGUGA
rnacentral:rRNA from 1 species